UUCCAUUUGCCUCAUGCAAAUUGCUGUGGAAAUGUUAUAAUGUAGUUCUCUAAGCACUUUAUAUCGCAAUAUCUACUAAGCUAACAUGGAGUUAUUUCAAGAUGGUCAUAAUGUAUCAUAUAGCCAAUAGAUGUUUUAUUUUAGGACCUCUGAAGGUAAUAAAAACAGAAUUGAAUAGCACAGUUUUACAUGGCAAAACAGACUGUCGUAGAGAUUUAGUGAUGUCAGAGCAAAACCCGACACUCGUGUUCGUGAGUCAUCUUUCAAUGGCGGUGCUUUAUUCGUUUGUAGCUCAAAAUAUUGUGAUUUAUUUUUUUUACCGACUUUUGGUGAGUAUGUUCGUGUCUGGUUCCUCUUGUGUAGAAAAAGACAUUUCACAAGCCACAUGUUAUGAAAUAGGCGCGAGCUUUAUAUCGUCAGAGUGAAUUGAGCUGCAGCCACUACACGAAACGGCUCUAUGACGACAACUGAGGACACCCUGGCCUUACCUGGAUGUGCCUGGUCCAAUCCCACCUGGCCCCCAUCUAACUGCUACCUGCCUGUUGCUGCCUCCGCUGGUUCUUUCUUCCCAACAAGUCACUGAAACCUGAGCCUGAUUUAGCUUUGAGCCUCUUUGCAGAUGUCUUCAAUACAUAAAACGUAUAUAUGUUAUGGCUUUACAUCCCCUGCUAUAUUGUGGAUAAAGAGUUACCUGUCUAACA